CUGCAAAGAACGCUUCUUUUUCCACCGGAGCUUGCUCCACCGGAAAAAGAGGAGUGGCGAACGGGUGAGUAACACGUGGGUAACCUGCCCAUCAGAAGGGGAUAACACUUGGAAACAGGUGCUAAUACCGUAUAACAAUCGAAACCGCAUGGUUUUGAUUUGAAAGGCGCUUUCGGGUGUCGCUGAUGGAUGGACCCGCGGUGCAUUAGCUAGUUGGUGAGGUAACGGCUCACCAAGGCGACGAUGCAUAGCCGACCUGAGAGGGUGAUCGGCCACAUUGGGACUGAGACACGGCCCAAACUCCUACGGGAGGCAGCAGUAGGGAAUCUUCGGCAAUGGACGAAAGUCUGACCGAGCAACGCCGCGUGAGUGAAGAAGGUUUUCGGAUCGUAAAACUCUGUUGUUAGAGAAGAACAAGGAUGAGAGUAACUGUUCAUCCCUUGACGGUAUCUAACCAGAAAGCCACGGCUAACUACGUGCCAGCAGCCGCGGUAAUACGUAGGUGGCAAGCGUUGUCCGGAUUUAUUGGGCGUAAAGCGAGCGCAGGCGGUUUCUUAAGUCUGAUGUGAAAGCCCCCGGCUCAACCGGGGAGGGUCAUUGGAAACUGGGAGACUUGAGUGCAGAAGAGGAGAGUGGAAUUCCAUGUGUAGCGGUGAAAUGCGUAGAUAUAUGGAGGAACACCAGUGGCGAAGGCGGCUCUCUGGUCUGUAACUGACGCUGAGGCUCGAAAGCGUGGGGAGCAAACAGGAUUAGAUACCCUGGUAGUCCACGCCGUAAACGAUGAGUGCUAAGUGUUGGAGGGUUUCCGCCCUUCAGUGCUGCAGCUAACGCAUUAAGCACUCCGCCUGGGGAGUACGACCGCAAGGUUGAAACUCAAAGGAAUUGACGGGGGCCCGCACAAGCGGUGGAGCAUGUGGUUUAAUUCGAAGCAACGCGAAGAACCUUACCAGGUCUUGACAUCCUUUGACCACUCUAGAGAUAGAGCUUCCCCUUCGGGGGCAAAGUGACAGGUGGUGCAUGGUUGUCGUCAGCUCGUGUCGUGAGAUGUUGGGUUAAGUCCCGCAACGAGCGCAACCCUUAUUGUUAGUUGCCAUCAUUUAGUUGGGCACUCUAGCAAGACUGCCGGUGACAAACCGGAGGAAGGUGGGGAUGACGUCAAAUCAUCAUGCCCCUUAUGACCUGGGCUACACACGUGCUACAAUGGGAAGUACAACGAGUCGCAAAGUCGCGAGGCUAAGCUAAUCUCUUAAAGCUUCUCUCAGUUCGGAUUGUAGGCUGCAACUCGCCUACAUGAAGCCGGAAUCGCUAGUAAUCGCGGAUCAGCACGCCGCGGUGAAUACGUUCCCGGGCCUUGUACACACCGCCAGUCACACGACAAGUGUCACCCACGGAGCAGAGCUCCUGCUGGUGCUCACACGUUUACA
rnacentral:rRNA from 1 species